AUCUCUGAGACUGUAAUACUUCGAGGCGAACCUGAAAAGUUAGGUCAGGCGUUGACUGAAGUCUAUGCCAAGGCCAAUAGCUUCACCGUCUCCUCUGUCGCCGCCCCUUCCUGGCUUCACCGUUUCAUCAUUGGCAAGAAAGGGCAGAACCUGGCCAAAAUCACUCAGCAGAUGCCAAAGUAAACAGAAUCAAAGACCAGUACAAGGUGUCCGUGCGCAUCCCUCCUGACAGUGAGAAGAGCAAUUUGAUCCGCAUCGAGGGGGACCCACAGGGCGUGCAGCAGGCCAAGCGAGAGCUGCUGGAGCUUGCAUCUCGCAUGGAAAAUGAGCGUACCAAGGA
rnacentral:lncRNA from 1 species